rnacentral:sRNA from 1 species
CCCAGAGGUAUUGAUGGGUGAACAUCAAAGUUUUUGAUUACACCAGCCUGCGCGGAAGCGCAGGUUUUUUUU